CCAACCUUUUCAGGCACAAAGGGGUCCUCCCAACGCAGUUUAUUUCCAACCUGCUCAGGCACAAAGAGGUCCUCCCAACUCAGUUUAUUUUCAACCUGUUCAGGCACAGAGGGGUCCUCCCAACGCAGUUUAUUUCCAACCUGCUCAGGCACAAAGGGGUCCUCCCAACUCAGUUUAUUACCAACCUGUUCAGGCACAAAGGGGUCCUCCCAACGCAGGGGCAGAUGACUUGAGAAUGAGUAUGUUUAAUUAUGCAAGAGACGAUGAGAGGUAUCGUGAUACAGAACAAGGAGGCAGAGGGAGAGGAAGGGGAAGGGGAAGGGGAAGAAAGGGUCAGGGGAGGGGUAGAGGGAGAGGAUGGGGUUGAUUUGGUUGACUUUUUGACCUUCCUCCCUAUUGUUUACUUCCCCAUAUCAUCUUGGUGUGUAAAGUAUCAUAAUGGAGUUCCAAACAUGCAAAUUGUGAGAUUUUCUCUGCUUUGGCUGCCCUUAUAUUUCACCUUGAAGAAUCAG